rnacentral:rRNA from 1 species
UUCUUUAAGCUGUUAAUUUAAAGUAAGACCUGCUCAAUGUAAAUAAAUAGCCGCAGUACACCUGUGCUAAGGUAGCAUAAUAACUUGCUUCUUAAUUAGAAGAUGGAAUGAAAGGUCACACACAUAAUUUUAUAUUUCUCAUAAACACUUAAAAUUAAGAGAGAAGUAAAAACUCUUCUACAUUCAGUGGGACGACAAGACCCUGAUAAACUUAUCAUUUAGUUGGGGAAACAAAUUAAUAAAUAUUUAACAAAAUCAUCACACAACUAAAAAUUUUAAUUAAGAACAGUUACUACAGGGAUAACAGCGCUAUCUCCCCACAGAGAUCCUAUCAAAGGGGAGGAUUACGACCUCGAUGUUGAAUUAAUUUUCCUAAAAGACGCAAAAGUCUCAUAAGGUGGUCUGUUCGACUAUUAAAAAAUU